GUCUAGAGAAGAUGAAUCCCCUCACAGUACGAAUAUUUGACAGCAACAAAGUUGUGCACAGAUUAUUUGAUAUGUGCACCACAAGUGGGAGGAACUGUGGAACUGCUGAAGUGAUUUAUAAAAAAAUCAAUGACACCCUGUAGGAAAGCAACAUCCCUUGGAGAAACUGUGUAGGUCUCUCUAUUGACAAUGCUCCUGUAAAUACAGGUGCCACAAUUCAAUUGCAGCCAGAAUGCUGAGGGAAAAUGGCAGCAUUUACAUACAUGGAUGCCCCAGUCAUAUUAUGCACAAAACUGCCAAACAGGCAGAAUGUGCACUUUAUAUUACCAAUCUGUUAAGUCCAAUGCCAAGUAAAACAGUUUGCUGAUAGUGUUGUAUUAAUUAUUGGAAUUCUUGUAUUUCAGAUAUCCGGUUUUGAUCCUGAACAUCUGGCAGUGGAUGUUGGGUAUUGGUUUAAGGGAAGCACCAAUCGUAAAGGUUACCUGGCAGGAGAAAAACUAAAUAUUGGCUUCACCACCAGAGCUACCCUCAACAGGCUGCUUGAGGCUGGAGACAUCACACCUCAAGAGGUGCAUCUAUUCCAGCAGGCAGCAUUUCUGGUCAGGGCUGUGGAGUAUUGGAUCAAAAAACUCUCCCUGAAGGAGGCCCUGCUGAAGCACGCUCAAUUCCUUGAUGUGCAGCAGAGGACGGAGUGUGGGGUGGAAGAUGCCCUAUACUUCGUAGACAGGCAAGGGUUUCAUAUUUUCCAAGAUUUCAACAUAUUUAAUACUUGAAGUUUAAUUUGGACCAUGGUCACAAAACAAAUACUUAAUCCAUUCUUUACACAUGGUGCUCUUUUUCAGAUUUCAGGAACUACUUCCUUUCAGUGGGCCAGAGGAACAGGACAAGGACAAGUUCUUGGAAUAUCAACUCAUGGAUAUUCCCAUGCCACAAGAUCCCACCACCUUUAAUGUUGAGGAGUUUUGGGGGAGUAUGUCCUCAAUCAAGUGCAAAGUGUCCGGUUUGAGCCUGUUUGGGAGGCUUUCUAAAAUAGCUUCAUUGGUGUUAGUGCUCUCUCAUUCAAAUGGCGACGCUGAAAGGGUUUUUUCCAUAGUGGGAUUAAACAAGACCAAAACUAAGAACAGCUUAGCACUUGAUGGAACCCUGUCAUCCAUCAUGACAGUAAAAAUGGCUGGCCUGGAACCACAGUGCUUCAAAUGGGAGCCACCAACCCCUGUGCUGAAGGCCUCAAAACCAGCUACCAACACCUACAAUAAACAACACUGA
rnacentral:lncRNA from 1 species